UCAUUAAGUUCUAACCUUCUAAAUCUAUGUACCUUUUCAUCUCUACCACCUCCCUAGUUGGGGUCAAAAGUUAUCUCUCUGCACUGCUCCCAGUCUUCUAAAUGGAUCUUCCUAUUUCUGUUCUUGACCUAUUACAGUCUAUUGUCUGUUUAGUAAGCAGAGUGGCCUUUUGGGUACACAAUGAAAAGACUUUGCUGCUCAAAACCCCUCUAAUGGCUUUCCUUAUACUUUGGAUUAAAUUCUGCCUUCACCUACAAAGCUGCAUGUGCUCCCUGCUUGCCCUUCCAAAAUUCAUCUUAUAUCACUAUCUUCCUGGCAGGUUAAGCUUCAGUCACAUUAUCCUUUUUUUCUAUUCUUGUAAACAAGUCAUCCUACUUUUUUCCUAGGGUCUUUGCAUUUGCUCUUGCCUGCUUCAGAAUUAGCAGCUAUUUCCCCUAGAUUCCAAGAUGCCACCUUCAUUAUUGUUCAGUCUCAUACACUUACCUAAUUUCUCUUGGGUCAUCUUAUUCCAGUUCUCUGCAUAGUGCUCACCAUUGGCUGCUGUUCUUAUUUGUUUUCUCUGUCUUCCUCCAAUUAGAAUGUAAGUUGUAUUAGAGCAAGAAUGUUUUCUUCCCUGUGUCACUGUUAUAGUCCCAAUACCUAUAUACGCCUGUAGAACGUUUUUUAGGAUUUUUGAUGGUUAUUGAUGUUCUGAAAAGCACAGAAGAAAACAAUGACUUUAUAACCUAACUAUAGUACUCGUUUUUGUCUACAUACUACCCAUAGAAUUUUAUUUUACCCCCAGAUAAGCCAUAAUAGAAUAAUGGUCUAAGGAUGUCAUGACAGAGUAUGGCUUGUAGCAUGUUAAGUGGAAUUAGCAAGAGAGUAGGAUAGGGAAAACAGAGUGCCUAUUAGAUACAUGCAUGUGGACAGUGGUAGAAUUAGAUACUUAAUUUAUCAGAAUGAUCCAGAUCCUAGAGAAGGAUAGGAUGGAGACUCAUGGACUAUACACUAAAUGCCAGGAAGUAUUCAGGAGUUGAAGUAGCCAGACUAAACAAGUUGUCUGAGGGCAACUUGGUCAACAAGUAGAUGGGCGAGUCAGAAAAAAAAAUUUUGGAAGAAACCAAGUAAAUGGGAGGAAGAGUUCCUCAGGAUUUAUAGCAGAGAAUAAAUGUUGAGGCAAUUUCAGCUGCUUUUAUUCAGCUCAUCUUGAUGUGAGCCAAUUUCAGAGUUUCCUAAGUCUGCUGAUGAUAAUGAAAAGCAGCUGGUGGAUUGUGUUUGAGAUUUGAAGGGAAAGAGGGAGGAAUAGGAGUCUGGGUGGAGUGCACUAAUUUCUGAUGUAGAAGCAGUGUGUGUUUGGCAGAGGAGC
rnacentral:lncRNA from 1 species